rnacentral:rRNA from 1 species
UUGGUGAGGUAAUGGCUCACCAAGGCGACGACGGGUAGCCGGCCUGAGAGGGCGACCGGCCACACUGGGACUGAGACACGGCCCAGACUCCUACGGGAGGCAGCAGUGGGGAAUAUUGCACAAUGGGCGAAAGCCUGAUGCAGCGACGCCGCGUGAGGGAUGACGGCCUUCGGGUUGUAAACCACUUUCAGCAGGGAAGAAGCGAAAGUGACGGUACCUGCAGAAGAAGCGCCGGCUAACUACGUGCCAGCAGCCGCGGUAAUACGUAGGGCGCAAGCGUUGUCCGGAAUUAUUGGGCGUAAAGAGCUCGUAGGCGGCUUGUCACGUCGGGUGUGAAAGCCCGGGGCUUAACCCCGGGUCUGCAUUCGAUACGGGCUAGCUAGAGUGUGGUAGGGGAGAUCGGAAUUCCUGGUGUAGCGGUGAAAUGCGCAGAUAUCAGGAGGAACACCGGUGGCGAAGGCGGAUCUCUGGGCCAUUACUGACGCUGAGGAGCGAAAGCGUGGGGAGCGAACAGGAUUAGAUACCCUGGUAGUCCACGCCGUAAACGGUGGGAACUAGGUGUUGGCGACAUUCCACGUCGUCGGUGCCGCAGCUAACGCAUUAAGUUCCCCGCCUGGGGAGUACGG